rnacentral:lncRNA from 1 species
ACUCAUCAUAGGGUAUCUUCGUCUCCACUAACAGCUUCCAGAUCCACUGACUCUUCAUCAGAAUCACCUAGAAGUGGAAGGAAAAUCACCUCGGCAGUGUUUGAAGGAAGGAUACUGCAACUCUUUGAAGUACGCAUUUUUUGAGUGUAAAAGAUCAGUGUUGGAUAACAGGGCAAGAUUCAGAGGAAGAAAAGGAUAUUGAUGCAUUAUGUUGAAGCCAACAUGGAAAACAACAAAUAUUUUCCCUGGUCAUUAACACAAAGAAGCCAAAACAGGAAACAUACUUUUUACUACAUCUGUUUGGUUGGACCAGAUUUCCCCUCCGUGGAACACUGAAGAAAGUGGAUGAGUUGUUUUCGAAUAUGUAUAAAGUAAAUGAUUCUCUUGAUCCAAGUUAUUUUUAGAAGAAAAACCUAAUUGAACAGGUAUGGGUUGGGAGCAUAAUAAAUGUGUUUUGAGAAUUGUUCUAAAGCACAGAAAA